AUUGAACGCUGGCGGCAUGCUUUACACAUGCAAGUCGAACGGCAGCGCGGGCUUCGGCCUGGCGGCGAGUGGCGAACGGGUGAGUAAUAUAUCGGAACGUACCCAGAAGUGGGGGAUAACGUAGCGAAAGUUACGCUAAUACCGCAUACGAUCUAAGGAUGAAAGUGGGGGACCUUCGGGCCUCAUGCUUUUGGAGCGGCCGAUAUCUGAUUAGCUAGUUGGUGAGGUAAAGGCGCACCAAGGCGACGAUCAGUAGCUGGUCUGAGAGGACGACCAGCCACACUGGGACUGAGACACGGCCCAGACUCCUACGGGAGGCAGCAGUGGGGAAUUUUGGACAAUGGGGGCAACCCUGAUCCAGCAAUGCCGCGUGAGUGAAGAAGGCCUUCGGGUUGUAAAGCUCUUUUGUCAGGGAAGAAACGGUUCUAGCUAAUAUCUGGAGCUAAUGACGGUACCUGAAGAAUAAGCACCGGCUAACUACGUGCCAGCCGCCGCCGUAAAAC
rnacentral:rRNA from 1 species